ensembl:lncRNA
GUUCAGUUUACCCCGGAUAUGCACCGUGCCGCUUGUCUUUCAGACGGCCACAGGAAUAUCAACAAAAACACAGUGUUUUCAUGGGCCACGGCGAGUCCACAAAUUUUCACUGCAGUCAAGAGAAUCACCGUGACGUCUGCCGUUCGAUCACCUGAUCUGGACUCGACCUCCGCUGACAACAAACACCAGCCGAUCAUUAGUUGCCCCGGCAUCCUCCACCAAAUGAAGCGAGAUCGAUCAACUUCAGACCAGACAACAAACGACGGAGGCUUCCAGAAAAGUGCAAUCAAACGAUGGGUUUAUUAGCAGCGGAGAAAACAUAUCAGGAUAUGUCCUCUGACAAAAAUACAUGUGAAGAACAUUUAUAAGGCACCGGGGUAUCCGCCCCCCCCAUGGCGUCAACACAAGUCAAGAGUUCAUCACGUACAGUCAAUAUCUUGUACAUCUUUAAUAGUUAUAAACAGACAUGGACCAGACAUAUAACUUCCUGUUUCUGCAACACCUUUAAUGCACAAUCAUAAUCUUAAGCCUUCAGAGUGUCUGAGGGCUGAUCAUUGCCUCCCGUCAUCUGCUACUAAGUAGGUAAAAGGGCAGCCAGUUACAAAAAGGUCAAAGACACUUGGGCCUGCGCUCAGGCCUGUUGCUAGAUUAAUAUGUGUAAUGUAAGCAUGCAUGUAAUCAACCUGCUAUGUUCUCAUCUUCCCUCAACAUGUAUCAUCUGGACACUCUCACCAGUGAAGCUUAAAACCCUCUUGGAUGGAACAUCAACUCUAAACAAGCACAGUUAUGCAUUGUGUAUAGAAUGAUCAUAAAUAAACCUGUGAAUAGAAAGGUUAAUGUGAUGACAAACAUAUUCAAUGCAAUAAGAACCCUGUAAACAAUAUUACUGUUAAAAUAAUACUGCAAAACACGUUAUCAAUGCAUUCAUCAUAAGGCAGAUUAUAUAAUAAUCAAAUCAAAUCAAAUCAAAUCACCUUUAUUGUCACAUCACAUGUGCAGGUACACUGGUACAGUACAUGCGAGUGAAAUUCUUGUGUGCAAGCUUCACAAGCAACAGAGUUGUGCAAAAUACAAUAACGUGCAACAAGCAAAAUAUAAAA